GACGAACGCUGGCGGCGUGCUUAACACAUGCAAGUCGAACGGAAAGGCCCUGCUUGCAGGGUGCUCGAGUGGCGAACGGGUGAGUAACACGUGGGUGAUCUGCCCCUUACUUUGGGAUAAGCCUGGGAAACUGGGUCUAAUACUGGAUAGGACCAUGCUGUAGGUGGUGUGGUGGAAAGAUUAGUUUCGGUUAGGGAUGAGCUCGCGGCCUAUCAGCUUGUUGGUGGGGUAAUGGCCGACCAAGGCGUCGACGGGUAGCCGGCCUGAGAGGGUGGACGGCCACGUUGGGACUGAGAUACGGCCCAGACUCCUACGGGAGGCAGAAGUGGGGAAUAUUGCACAAUGGGCGCAAGCCUGAUGCAGCGACGCCGCGUGGGGGAUGACGGCCUUCGGGUUGUAAACUCCUUUCAGCCAUGACGAAGCCUUCGGGUGACGGUAGUGGUAGAAGAAGCACCGGCUAACUACGUG
rnacentral:rRNA from 1 species